rnacentral:rRNA from 1 species
UACGAAGGGUGCAAACGUUGCUCGGAAUUAUUGGGCGUAAAGCGCAUGUAGGCGGCAGCGCAAGUCGGGCGUGAAAUCCCACGGCUCAACCGUGGAAGUGCACUCGAAACUGCGCAGCUAGAGUCCUGGAGAGGAAGGUGGAAUGCUUGGUGUAGAGGUGAAAUUCGUAGAUAUCAAGCGGAACACCGGUGGCGAAGGCGGCCUUCUGGACAGUGACUGACGCUGAGAUGCGAAAGCGUGGGGAGCAAACAGG